CAGGAGCAAGGGGGAAACCCUUCUCCUUCAACUACUUACAAGAACUCAAGAAUUGAACCUGAUUUUGGGGAGAAAUCGGAUGCAUGAGCUUAUAUUCCUAAUCAUCUAGACAAGAUGAACAUGUGAAUUGGAAUCACACGAGCAUGGGCCAAGCAUGGAAGGUUAACGGGUCAAGAUGAGGCAAGGAAGCGGUUACGAACACGGAUGCACAAGUGUAACGCAGGUACAACGAGGAAGUCUCACCACGGAAUGUAUAAUCAGAUAGAAAGCUGGGAUGUGACGAGAUAAUGAAAUGAAUAGUCAGUUGGUAUGUAAUGCAGGAAUGAGUACAUUGAAUUCCAAUGAAAAUUCAAGCCGAAUCCGGAACAAGGGAAUGCGAAGGCAUAGUUGAAUGAACUAAUGU